GACGAACGCUGGCGGCGUGCUUAACACAUGCAAGUCGAACGGUGAAGCGCCUUCCUUUUUGGUGGGUGUGGAUGAGUGGCGAACGGGUGAGUAACACGUGAGUAUCCUGCCCCCUUCUUCUGGAUAACCGCAUGAAAGUGUGGCUAAUACGGGAUAUUCUGGGUCUGUCGCAUGAUGGGUCUGGGAAAGAUAUUGUUUCGGUGGGGGAUGGGCUCGCGGCCUAUCAGCUUGUUGGUGGGGUGAUGGCCUACCAAGGCGGUGACGGGUAGCCGGCCUGAGAGGGUGGACGGUCACACUGGGACUGAGACACGGCCCAGACUCCUACGGGAGGCAGCAGUGGGGAAUAUUGCACAAUGGGCGCAAGCCUGAUGCAGCGACGCCGCGUGAGGGAUGGAGGCCUUCGGGUUGUGAACCUCUUUCGCCAGUGAAGCAGGCCUGCCUCGUUUGUGGGUGGGUUGACGGUAGCUGGAGAAGAAGCGCCGGCUAACUACGUG
rnacentral:rRNA from 1 species